ACAUUGGUGGUUCAGUGGUAGAAUUCUCACCUUCCAAGCAGAUGACCUGGGUUGAUUCCCAGCCAAUACG
rnacentral:tRNA from 1 species